AAAAAAGAGAAUGUACAUUUUGCAUACUCAUAGAGAUAAGGCAUUCUUUUGUGCAUGAUCCAAGUAGAUAAUCUAUACUUGAUAAUUAUAUGUUUCGCAAUCAUGUAAACACAUAAUAGCUGCAAGAAAGAUUAAAAAAAGAAAAACAAGAUACAGUUAUUUCCAGAAGAAGUAGCAGUAAGCAAUGUGAUACAUAAGAUUUGAAUUUAAUUUCUGUUUGAGAAUAGAUUUUUAUGAUAGUCAAUAUCCAAUCCUUGUUCAUAAAUUUAUUCCUUUCCUGAAUGCUGUAGGAAUCAAACCUCAUGUGUCAUUAUACCAUCUUGACCAUCCCCAAGCACUUGAAGAUAAGUAUUCAGGAUGGUUGAGUCCCAAAAUGGUGUAAGAUGUCCUUCGAUGACUAGCAUACUUCAACGUCACUACUCAUUAGUACAAUUUCUCAAUCCCAAAACUAAUUGUGAUAAUCUCAGCCAAAUAAGCUGAUAUGUAAAGAUGUGCUUCAGGGAUGAUUUCACAGCAUUUGCAGAUGUAUGCUUCAAGAAUUUUGUGACAGAGUUCCUCGAUGGACAACUAUUGUCGAACCCAGUAUAAUGUCACUGGGUGCAUAUGACAUGGGAACACUUCCACCAAAUCGGUGCUCUUAUCCAUUUGGCAUCAAUUGCACAGUAGGAAAUUCGACGACAGAGCCCUACAUUGCGAUUCACAACGUCCUACUAGCCCAUGCAUCGAUCGUCAAAUUAUACAAAAGCAAAUAUCAAGUAAGUCAUUUGCCUUCUUCACUUUGUGUUAUCCACUAUUUUACCAUGUCAACAUUGAUUUUAUAAAUUUACCAUUUAUACAGGCAAAACAAAAUGGGUGGAUAGGCAUUAAUGUCUACACUUUUUGGUAUUAUCCGUUCACAAACUCUUCUGCAGACAUUGAGGCAACCCAAAGAAUUCUUGAGUUUUAUGUUGGCUGGUAUUCUACUUAAUUCAGUGCGCAUUGUCUUCUAGUCUCACGCGAUUGUGUUCUAAUGAGCCAUCCACUAUUAGGAUCCUAAAUCCAUUGGUGUUUGGAGACUAUCCUGAGGUCAUGAAGAAGAUCGUCGGCUCGCGACUCCCAUCCUUCACCAAAUCUCAGUCUGAACAAAUAAAGGGCUUAUUUGAUUUCAUUGGCGUGAAUCACUAUUCUUCAAUAUAUGUCAAAGAUAACAUCAAUGCUUCUGAGAUGGGUCUUCGCGACUUUGUUAUGGAUUCCUUAGCCUUGGUGACAAGUAAGUUAUUCUCUUGCUCUUUUGGUUCAGAUUUGCAUUGUGUUUUAAGCUGUAGUGAGCUGCUUACUAUCGAUGCUUCGAUGUAGCUUCAAGAAAUGAGACACCUGGUCAGGUAAAAAGAGUAGAGUUAAUCUUCCUACCAUGUAGUUUCUUCACCGUGAAUACUUGAAAUGGGCUAACAUCUGCUGCAACAUAAACAGUAUGACCCUACGGCACCUUCAUCAUUCGAUCCUCAGGGGCUGCAAUACAUGUUUGAGUAUCUCAGAGAUGCCUACGGAAAUCCUCCUCUUUUUGUUGAAGAAAAUGGUCAGUUCAGCCACUCCUUUUCAUCAUGGAUUAAAAAGAUGCUUUGUUUUUCAUCAAGUAUCGUAAUUUUUAUCAGGCUAUGGCAUAGGAAGGAGAGAGAGCGAUGACCUUAAUGACACCGAUAGGAUCAAUUACCUGAAUGGCUUCAUCGGUAGCAUGCUCGAUGCUAUCAGGUCGAUAUUGAUGUCUUGAUUACAUGCAUAUGAUAAGCUUCCAAAUAUAGGAAGCAAUGCUUUAGAUUUACCAUCAAAAUUUUUUGAGUUUUGAUUAAAAACUAUAAAUAAAAAUUUAAAUAUUCUUAAUAUAAUUAAAAAUAUGAUUUUUUUAGAGCUUAAUGAUAGUGAAAGAUCGAUAUAGCCAGCCCCAAAUAGUUGAAACAUUAUGACAAUUUUAUCGUUGUUAAUACUUAUAGGAGGAUCUUUUGUUUGUAGGAAUGGAGCGAAUGUGAAAGGUUACUUCGUUUGGUCGUUCAUAGAUGUUUUCGAGUUUUUGACAGGGUAUCAAUCUCGUUGCGGCUUGUACCAUGUGGAUUUUGAUGAUGAGAACCGUAAAAGAACGCCGAAGCUCUCUGCCAUUUGGUACUCUAAGCUUCUUGAAAGAAAGGAUGGCAUGAAACUGAACAAAACUGCAAUGGAUACAGAAUACUAUGCUCGGUGGUAACAUUCCUCCUCACAAGUCCUGUGUUAAAUAGAUUUAGAUCACACGAGUCAGUUUUCUCGUCUUGAGCAAAUACAGGCACUCAAAUUAGCUCAAUAAAAAAAAGGAUCUAAAACUGGUAGGACUGUGAAAAUAAAGUGGUCUACUCCUUCAUAUUAAGUGUUUUUGUAUGAGUUCAAGCAUGUCGUUCAAAAGUUCCUGCAGUGGUUUGAGUUAUAUUUCACCUCAUCCACAAAAACUGGAGUAUUGUUAUUGGACGAUCUAUAAUGCAGCACUUCUUGAAAGAAAGAUUUUACCAAAGAAAGGGAUGAUAAUGAACCUCGAUACUAGUUGUGAUGGAUGUGGAUAUCAUCUCCUUGAAUCUGCACGAAUCUUUAACCACCCCACUCCAUUAAACAGGCAUGAGAUUGUUCUGCAAGCUGCAUGCGCAAUUAAACUGAGACUGCUUGUCACUUGUGUUAGAGAUGCUUGCAAAAAGUGUGGCAGGGAAAUCAUACCUCUUAUUGUUGGAGAUGCUCUGAACUUAAAUGUAAUCUGUCUCCAAUUGCAUCUCCUUUCUUUCUCUGAAUGGUACAUUGAUCAAACAAGAAACCAGUCUCAAAGAAUUGAAAAGCUCCAAUGCAAAGAAAAAGAAAAUUUAUCAGAUGUUCGAGAAAGUAUAGCAUAAAAAAUAUAGAUCAAUUUUAAAUGCAUUGCAUUUACACUUGAAUGGACAAACUCUUCUUAUGGACAACCAAAAAAGGCUCCCAAAAGUGGUCGCAGAGUGUUGUUGCUCCAUCAGCAGGCAUUCAGCACCCACAGACAACCAGAUAAUUUAGUUGGAUCACUGUUGAACACACAAAUACUUCUCUCCCACACUCAUAGAAAGAGCAAUGCAAGUGAUACAAGAAAGCAAGGGGAACUUUAUUUGAGCCAAGAAUUAAGUCCUUCAAAUGUGCAACUUCAAGUAUAUCUUCCAUCUCCAAUCAACCUGUGGUAAUGAAGUACAGCAGCAGUCGAGGAGUUCAUAUGAAGAUGCCUACCAGAAACCAUUGAUGCUUCUCUCCGGCAGGAACAGAGAUCAGACAUCAGAUUCAUGUCAAUUCAUUCAGAAGACUGCAGAUCAUAGAUGUUAAAAAGUUAUUUAGGCUCUCAAAGAAGAAUAACUGUAAGGAUUAAGAGAUAAGGAAUUCACAUCGAGGUGUUAGCCAUCCUAGAAAACUUCAUCAGCUUCUCUCAGUCGGUAUGUUUAUGCAUACCUGUGAUUUUGUUGAUGAGCUGCUUCUCACGAGAAUAACUGUUUUACAGACAACAGCUUAAAAUUUAAAAUCUCAUCUAAUAAAUUUUAACACUACUUGAGGAGGAUCUCAAUAAAAUCAAAAUCAAAAUUAAUACAAAAAUAUGCGGUGUUCAUCGCAUGUCUGACCAACUCCAUUCAUGAACAAAGCCAGAGUUGUGGUAUGCUCUUCAUCCAAUAAGUUCAUCUACAUUUUGGCUUCUUCUUCCUGUCUGACCGGCGCAGGUCAUACAUGAGACAACCAGGAAAGAGAAAAACACCAUUAAAAGAGACUUUCAUGUUCUGGCUGACAUGAUGCUUCCCAGAAGUCUCCAAUCCAAUCUUAAACCAAGUGUAGAUGCCACUCUCUCUUUGACUGCUUAACGCAAUGGUAAUAAUUAUAGUUGUCAUGACCAAAUUAGGUCUUCUUUUAAAAGUUUUAUAGAGCUUUACUAAUAACCAUAGUCCGAUAAGAUUUUCUUAACUAUACGAGGAAAUCUCUUUGAGAAAAAUCGAUAGUUUAUCGUAACAUUCUGGGUUUUGAGUUCAAAUUUUAUUUUUAUUAUUUUUUUUAAAAAAUAAUAUAUAACUAUUCUCAUCAAGAAUUAGAUGCUCAUAAGGAAUUGUUUGUUUGUUGUCUACUUCUUAAUUAUGAUAUAAUACUAAAUAUGCUUAUUAAUUACUAAAAAUUAAUAAACAAUGAGGAGUAGUAACGUAUUUGAAAAGGCGUUUGUUAGUCUAAUCGAUAAGGACGGGCUCAAAUUCUAUGUUUAGAAUAUAUUCUUUGAAAAAAAGAAAUAAUACACAAACUAUUCUCGUAAAGAAUUAGAUGUUCAUAAGGAAUUGUUUGUUUUGUUGUAUCAAUAAACAAUGAGGAGUUGUAUACUAAAAAAAUAAUAAAAAAUGUAGGACCAAAAUAUUAUCCCUUCCAUUGACUUCGCCCACAAAAUUCGACCAUUAUCAUCUUCAUGAAGGCCAUCUUUUUGCGCGCCAUGCUCAAAUAAAAUACUAACCACACAACAGGGGCGCCGGCACCGGACGGCUACUUGCGCGGCUUUGACCGCUUCCUCUUCCUCCUCCUCCUCCUCCUCCUCCUCACCUUCGUGCUCUCUGGAGACUCGAGCGAGAGGAGAUGAGGGAAGGGUUGCUAAUCCCAGGAGUGGCACUCCUGCUGUUUUUGUCUUCGUUAGAAGAGGGUUCGGGGCAGCUGACGGAGCCCAGCUUCGGCAGAGCUGACUUCCCUUCAGACUUCAUCUUCGGAGCUGGGACGUCGUCUUAUCAGGCAAAUCUCUGCGCACUGGCUUCUCAUCUCGUUCCAUAGUGGGGGUGUUAAAAAAAAUCCUCGAUCACCGUCCAUGACCUGUUCUUUAUGGAUUCUUAGUAAGGAUGUUUUCCCCCUUUGAUGAUGCUUACUGGGUAUCACUCAGUGCACUCUCACAUGCUUUACUGCAAAUCUUACCUAAUUAUGUGCGAGACAGCCCAUCACUCCAUCUAUUCGUCAUCUUCUUGAGUUUUUCUUGAUAUGAGAUAUAGCAGAGAGAACAUGAGAGAUUGCGGAGAGAAAAGAGGUGAAGGGGGAUGGAGAUGAAAAAGGUAUAUAACUGAGAUUGCAUAUGUAGGUGGAGGGAGCAGUAUCUGAGGAUGGAAGGAAACCAAGCAUUUGGGAUACCUUUACCCAUGCAGGUGAACAUUCCUUGUUUCCUCUUCAAUUUCUUCACUUGGUAUUAUUAUUUACCAAACUAAUAAAUAAUACGUAUGUUAAAUUAAUUUCCAUGCACAAAGAGUUUGAAAUCUGGAACUCUUGUAAUUUGUUGUUAUUUUUGGGAUGAAUAACUUGGGGAUUUGAAUGGGGAUGAUGAAUGUUUCAGGGCGAACGCUGGACAAGAGCACAGGAGAUGUGGCUUCUGAUGGCUACCACAAAUACAAGGUCUGUAACUUCUACCUUAAUCUAUGGAAAAAAAUAAAAGAAAAGAAAAUAGAAUUCUUCAUUUAAAGGUGUCACAAAAUUACUAGUUCGAAUUCCUUGUUCUAUCGUGCCAAAUUGUCUUGACAAACCAUGUUUCUGGCUCCAACACUGUGGAAAAAGGAAGAAGGAUUUAUCCAUAGAAAUCAAAACAUGUCCCAUGUUAAUGCCAUCUAUGAAGACAAACAUAAAAUAGAACAGUAAUAUAUGUAGUAAUUUCUUCUUAAGUUGUAAAAGUAAAUAUAUAGUAGCUUGGUUCGUUCAUGGUUAUGCAUAGGACACAUACAGAAGGUUUUAAUCAUACCUAAGAUAUUUUCACUGGAAGCAAAAUGGCCAUGACUCAAAUUCUCGUUCUUUACAACUGUGUGGUAGAUAGGGAGCCCUUUGGAAAUAUAUGGUCACAAGAAGAAGGGGAUCUAAAUUUCUUUAUAAACCUUUUUCUUUGAAGCCUACUCAUCAUAGAUUUCUCUGACUGGUAAACUUUUAGUCUCUACAUGGCCUGACCAGUUCUUGGAUCGGAAAUUGACCAUGAUGCAAUAACCUGUUUUUUCACCUACAACUCGGUUUCAAGAAAAUAUGCACUUAUGCUGUCCCAUAAAAGUCAAAGAAGAGACACUUUUGAUCACAAUAUUAGAAGCUUUAAGCAUACUUUCAUACAUCCCUCACUAAUGUUUGCUCCUCAUAUUUAUCCAAUUAUAAUUGCCAAUGAGAUAUGUAUGACAUAGCCAGCAUUUCUAAAGUCCUCUAUGUUUACAUAUUAAUAAGGUGGGUUUUUCCCCUGUUGAAACUUGAAAAAACAAAGAAGUAGAUUUCUGAGUUUUGCUGAUGAUUACUUUGGUGAAUUUUCAUCGAAAACCAUUUAUUGAAUUCUUAGGAGGACAAAUGCAGUCAUCAGAAACUUGUUCUGAAACUUUGCCCUUUUCCUUAUAUGAAUAUGGGAUAUAUGAAGAAUAGUUACACUAUUUCAGCAAAGAAUUUCAGGAUGAAAAAAGAUUGUUUUGUUAAAAUAUGUGAUAUGUUGAAGGAACACCACCAAAGUUUAUAAAUGUGUGAUCAGUUGGUUCUUCAAGUUCUUAAACUCAUCAAUACAAGAAAAAAGAAGGAAAAAAAAAAAGUCUUGCUCUAGCUAUACCAAUAUUGACAUUUCCACCUAUUGUAAGUUUAUUAGCUACCAGUUCUAUUAUUAACUUUUUUGCUUAUUUAUGAUCCAAGAAGUCUUCUCUGAUAUAUAUAAACCAUGGCCUACUGCAAUUUAAGAUACAAAUUUUCUUAUAAGCCACCACUAAGUUUAAGAUUAUUAAGAUCGUGUAAUGAGUAUCCAGAUAAAAGAUUUUCAAAGACAUAGGCUUAAUCAUCAGGCGUGAGUCUUUUUUACAAGUGAGGUAAUAUUUCAGGAAGAUGUCAAGCUGAUGGCUGAAACAGGACUGGACUCCUACAGAUUCUCCAUCUCUUGGUCCAGACUUAUCCCAAGUAUGACUUGAUCGAAACUUUUAGAUCUCAUACAAAAGUGGUGUUGUUUAUGUGAUGUUACUUGUUCUGCAGAUGGUAGAGGAGCUGUUAAUCCUAAAGGCUUACAGUUUUACAACAACUUGAUUGACGAGCUAGUAAAAUAUGGUGAGUCUUUCUUUUAAGUGUGUUUUCAGUAUGUGUGAUUAUGCAAUUAUAAUCUGCCUCUCAACUGGAACAGCCAACCAAUUAGACGACAAAUCAACACUACUGAUGAAUGAUCAUGUAUGAAAAAUGCUUAAACUUCUCUUCUUGAAAAUUAUACCUUUAGUGAGGCAAUCAUUUCUUGAACUAGAUUGGAAUGAACUAUGAAACUAUCCAAUAAGCUUCAAAUUGUAUCUGUUCAUAGCUAAAUCAUUCCCGAGUGUUACUCUCCGAAUAUUAAAUUGAACUGGCAAACUCUAUAAUUAAAACUAAAUCAAUCUUUUGCAAAGAAGCUCGAUGAAUGAUAAAUGAGGGAGAAUAAUAAGAGAUAAAAAAAAAGAGAAUGUAUAUUUUGCAUACUCAAAGAGAUAAGACAUUCUUUUGUGCAUGAUGCAAGUAGAUAAUUCAUACUUGAUAAUUAUAUGUUUCGCAAUUAUAUAAACACAUAAUAGCUGCAAGAAAGAUUAAAAAACAAAAACAAGAAACAAUUAUUUCCAGUAGCAGUAAGCAAUGUGAUAUUUAAGAUUUGAAUUCUGUUUGACAAUGGAUUUUUAUGAUAGUCAAUAUCCAAUCCUUGUUCAUAAAUUUAUUCCUUUCCUGAAUGCUGUAGGAAUCAAACCUCAUGUGUCACUAUACCAUCUUGACCAUCCCCAAGCACUUGAAGAUGAGUAUUCAGGAUGGUUGAGCCCCAAAAUGGUGUAAGAUGUCCUUCGAUGACUAGCAUACUUCAUUGUUAUUACUCAUUAGUAAACUUCCUCAAUCCCCAAAGUAAUUGUGAUAAUCUCAGCCAAUUAAGCUGAUAUGUAAAGAUAUGCUUCAGGGAUGAUUUCACAGCAUUUGCAGAUGUUUGCUUCAAGAAUUUUGGUGACAGAGUUCCUCGGUGGACGACUGUUGUCGAACCCAAUAUAAUGUCACUGGGUGCAUUUGACGUGGCAAUACUUCCACCAAAUCGAUGCUCUUAUCCAUUUGGCAUCAAUUGCACCGUAGGAAAUUCGACGACAGAGCCCUACAUUGUGGUUCACAACGUCCUAUUAGCCCAUGCAUCGAUCGUCAAAUUAUACAAAAGAAAAUAUCAA
rnacentral:lncRNA from 1 species